UUGUUGUUGCUUUUUUUCGCUUUUUAAAUAUUUCUCUAGUUUCUGUAGUGCCGAACUCCUUUAGGUUUCUGAUAAGAUUUCUUUCCCUCUGUCAUUUAGCUGAAGUCCGGCCAACUCUUUCCUUGUUUAGAAACUUUUAUACCUUUAAGCGUUAUCCUUCGACAAAGGACUGGUGGUACUUUUCUCUCCAGUUCGGUAGGAAGGGG
rnacentral:lncRNA from 1 species